rnacentral:rRNA from 2 species
CCUACGGGAAGGCAGCAGUAGGGAAUCUUCCGCAAUGGACGAAAGUCUGACGGAGCAACGCCGCGUGAGUGAUGAAGGCUUUCGGGUCGUAAAACUCUGUUGUUAGGGAAGAACAAGUACGAGAGUAACUGCUUGUACCUUGACGGUACCUAACCAGAAAGCCACGGCUAACUACGUGCCAGCAGCCGCGGUAAUACGUAGGUGGCAAGCGUUAUCCGGAAUUAUUGGGCGUAAAGCGCGCGCAGGCGGUUUCUUAAGUCUGAUGUGAAAGCCCACGGCUCAACCGUGGAGGGUCAUUGGAAACUGGGGAACUUGAGUGCAGAAGAGAAAAGCGGAAUUCCACGUGUAGCGGUGAAAUGCGUAGAGAUGUGGAGGAACACCAGUGGCGAAGGCGGCUUUUUGGUCUGUAACUGACGCUGAGGCGCGAAAGCGUGGGGAGCAAACAGGAUUAGAUACCCUGGUAGUCCACGCCGUAAACGAUGAGUGCUAAGUGUUAGAGGGUUUCCGCCCUUUAGUGCUGCAGCUAACGCAUAAGCACUCCGCCUGGGAGUUUACGC